rnacentral:rRNA from 1 species
GACGAACGCUGACGGUGUGCUUUAGACAUGCAAGUCGAACGCGAAAGCCCUUCGGGGUUAGUAGAGUGGCGAACGGGUGAGUAACACGUGGGCAAUCUGCCCCUCGCAGGGGGACAACCGGAGGAAACUCCGGCUAAUACCCCGUACGCUUGCUGGACCGCAUGAUCCGGUAAGGAAAGGUAGCUUCGGCCAUCCGGCGAGGGAUGAGCCCGCGGUGCAUUAGCUAGUUGGUGAGGUAACGGCUCACCAAGGCGACGAUGCAUAGCUGGUCUGAGAGGAUGAUCAGCCACACUGGGACUGAGACACGGCCCAGACUCCUACGGGAGGCAGCAGUCGGGAAUCUUGCGCAAUGGGCGAAAGCCUGACGCAGCAACACCGUGUGAGCGACGAAGGCC